GGGAAUUAGCUCAGUGGUAGAGCGUCCGCUUUGCAUGCGGAAGGCCCGGGGUUCAAUCCCCCGAUUCUC
rnacentral:tRNA from 1 species